rnacentral:rRNA from 1 species
UACGUAGGAUGCGAGCGUUGUCCGGAUUUAUUGGGCGUAAAGCGAACGUAGGCGGUUACUUAAGUUUGGUCUUAAAGACCGGGGCUCAACCCCGGGAAUGGACUGAAUACUGGGUGACUCGAGGAUGUUAGAGGAAAGUGGAAUUCCAAGUGUAGCGGUGAAAUGCGUAGAUAUUUGGAGGAACACCAGUGGCGAAAGCGACUUUCUGGGACAUUCCUGACGCUGAGGUUCGAAAGCUCGGGGAG